GAGUUUGAUCUUGGCUCAGAUUGAACGCUGGCGGCAUGCCUUACACAUGCAAGUCGAACGGCAGCACGGGAGCUUGCUCCUGGUGGGCGAGUGGCGAACGGGUGAGUAAUGCAUCGGAACGUAUCCUGGAGUGGGGGAUAACGUAGCGAAAGUUACGCUAAUACCGCAUAUUCUGUGAGCAGGAAAGCGGGGGACCUUCGGGCCUCGCGCUCUUGGAGCGGCCGAUGUCGGAUUAGCUAGUUGGUGAGGUAAAGGCUCACCAAGGCGACGAUCCGUAGCAGGUCUGAGAGGAUGAUCUGCCACACUGGAACUGAGACACGGGUCCAGACUCCUACGGGAGGCAGCAGUGGGGAAUUUUGGACAAUGGGGGCGAACCCUGAUCCAGCCGAUGCCGCGUGAGUGAAG
rnacentral:rRNA from 1 species